GACGAACGCUGGCGGCGUGCUUAACACAUGCAAGUCGAACGGAAAGGCCCUGCUUUUGUGGGGUGCUCGAGUGGCGAACGGGUGAGUAACACGUGAGUAACCUGCCCUUGACUUUGGGAUAACUUCAGGAAACUGGGGCUAAUACCGGAUAGGAGCUCCUGCUGCAUGGUGGGGGUUGGAAAGUUUCGGCGGUUGGGGAUGGACUCGCGGCUUAUCAGCUUGUUGGUGGGGUAGUGGCUUACCAAGGCUUUGACGGGUAGCCGGCCUGAGAGGGUGACCGGCCACAUAGGGACUGGGAUACGGCCCAGACUCCUACGGGAGGCAGCAGUGGGGAAUAUUGCACAAUGGGCGGAAGCCUGAUGCAGCAACGCCGCGUGCGGGAGGACGGCCUUCGGGUGGUAAACCGCUUUCGCCUGUGACGAAGCGUGAGUGACGGUAAUGGGUAAAGAAGCACCGGCUAACUACGU
rnacentral:rRNA from 1 species